CCUUCGGUUCGGACGUGUAAAGUCUGCAGUGGCAGUGCACCGAACACUCUGCUGAUAAUUGCAUAAUUGCAUAUCCCAGUAUCAAGUAUCCUACCAUGCGCGAAAGUGAUUACUCAGGUACCUAGUGCAAAAUAGAACCCUCAGGUGUUGUGGACUUAGAAGUGACUAUGGCCUCGCAAAGUGGAGGGGACCCCGGUCCCCUCCAGCUAUCCUUAUCAUCAAACGGUGGUGCAUAAGGUAUGUCAACAUUAACAAAGCGGACGGUAGACUAGAAGAUCACAACAUCUUUCUGGUCACCAAAUGAGAUGAAUAAGUGGUACGCCCACAUCACGGACAAAGAAGCCGAUUUCAAGGCGUACAUCGAAAGAAAAGAAACCGAAUUAAACGCUCUGGAAACCCACUGUAACUUCUUAACAAAUGAAAUGCAAAAGAAGGAUGACUUAAUAAUAAGUCUUAAUUGAAUCACUCAAACAGCACAUUGAGAAACAGCAUCAAGAAAUACAAAACAUCAAGGAAAAACACGGGAAAAAGGUCAAGUUGGAUAAAAAACACGAAUCAUCCCCAAACGUGAACUCGACGAAAAACCAAAAAGGAAAAAAAAAAAAAGGAACAACUGAGAACUACAAACGACUCGGAAUCAGAUACAAUCGAAACCAUGGAAGACGAUAAAUAGCAAACCAAUCAAAAACAAUCAAAUGACCACGCUAAUUCAAUGGAACUGUAGCGCAAUCCGAGGCAAAAUCUCUGAACUACAACUGAUAAUCAACGAAAACGAUCCAAGCAUGAUUGCUUUGCAAAAAACGAGAACUAAACCAAAUACUAAUUUCAAAAUAAAAGGAUACAACACCAUGUUCAAGCAUCGUACAUCCGAUCAAGGAGGCGUUGUCAUAAUGAUAGCAGUGAUAGGAAGCUAUCAAGUGCAGUGCAGAAUAAGUGUAUUAAUUAGAAUAAACUAGGAGUAUUUGCAACUAGUGUUUUUUUAAAACCUCCUAUGUGAACUCCGUUGUAUUAUUAUAUGUUGAGGAGUUUUAUGUCGAAUGUUACGAGAUAUUAUCAGACGUUCGAGCUAAAGUAAUUCUGGAAGAUAAUUUAAAAACCUGUGCUAAUAAUAUUAUUGACACGUAGAAGAUCAAUUUCCACCAUCAACGAAUCGAUUCUCACAAAGUCAAUCUUUUGGUUAACGUAUAACGUCGUUUAAUUCAAACUCUAUGCAAAGACCCGCCCAUUGCCAAAGAAAUUCUCAACAGCAAAACCAAAAUCAUAGUUCUUUCUAAUUCUAAUCUAGAAAGUACCCACCGAACUGUCAGCCUAAGAUAGAACAAGAACCCCUUCACAAGCCCACGUCAGAUAAUUCACCUCCCACAAAUCAAGUCCAUUAUCAAGAAUAUGAAGAACAGAAUCAAGAACUUUCCGAAGAAGCGUAUGGCUACUAAAAUCCCUAAGAAUCUCAAGAAGAUAUUGGCCCUGCCGAUGAACAAGUACAUCAAGUAACGAACGAAUAACAUCCAACAAUGUUUCACCUUGCCUCGUUCUGAUAACUUUCAAUCGCGAGCAAGCGGCGGCCAAACUACCCUUUCAGCAAAAUGAUGUGUGCUGUGCCUUCUGUCCAGCAGUACCGUCUAGUAUAGGUAGUGUGGAGAUUAUAUGGGACGUGGUGGACUAUCCACCAAAUUAUAGAAGAGAAGUAUUAUUUUAUAUGUCAAAUGCAUUCCAAUUACAGUUUAAUUUUUGUUUUAGGUUCAUUUUCAAAGUAGCAGUUAUAACCUCCCCGUGCAGGACCAAAUCUUGUGUUAUCUAAGGUUCCACUUGGUACAGACAUGAAGAUAGGAAAUUGUAAGUAAUUUAAGACAUAUAUUAAAUUUAUUCUAUCAAAACAAACCCCCAAAUUAAGACUUUCAGUGGCACAGUUAUAACGUUCACAGCGUUUAACAUAUUCACCACAUUCCGCUUACUUUCACCACAUAAUUGAUACAAUUUAGUAAAAAUGUUUUUUUCCUAAAAAAAAGUUCCUUUACUGGAACUGUAUGAUUCGUUGAUAAUGUUAUUAGUGGGUAUCUAUAAAAAUGGAAAAAUGGAAUAUAUUUAAUACUUACGAUAUUUUAACUGGUUUGACUUGAUGUUCGUCAUUGUUGAUUAGCUUCUGUAUUUCUUCUGCAAGAGAGGGUCGGGCACUUGUUCGUCCCUCACUUAGUUCAAUUUCCCAUAUGGGCGAAUUACGCUAUUAUACUGUAUGUAGGGUCUAUGAUCUUCAGUUUUCUUCUGCACUUAACACAUUGUUCACAGUCUACUUGGCGGUCAACGUUUUCAAAGAACGCUUUACCACUGUCACCACUCACUGUUCUUCAGUGAUAUUAGGGUAGCAUUUUUUUUUUUUUUCAAGUGAAAUAGUUCAAAGUUCAGCUUCAUACUUAAAGUUCUUUUCAGUAGUAACCAGUUGGGUCUUGGGUCACUUGGGACACAUAGCACACGCGAACAGUCAGUCAUAAAUGGCGUUCCUUCUGCGACUUCGGCGGAAGUUUCCGCUGUCACCACUUUGAACCGUGUUGACCGAGUGGUCGGGUUUUGGAGUACUGAGUGAAAAACUCAGUGAAUUUAGCUUGAAAAUAAAAAUGGCAGCGUUUUCGCAGAUAACAGCCCUAGUAUUCCACAAUUUGAUGGGAAUCCAGAUGAAUUGGAUGUUUUUAUAAGACAAAUUGUCUUAUACCGUCGCCAAAGCAUUUGUAGACAAUUUUAUAUGCAAAUUUGGUGCACCUAAAGAAUUAGUAACUGAUAAUGGUGCAAAUUUUGUUAGCAAUUUGAUGAAAAAUGUUUGUAAAAU